rnacentral:tRNA from 1 species
CUCUUCGCAGUGUAGUUGGAAGCACAUUCGACUAGCAAUCGGAAGAUCUGGGUUUCGAGUCCCGGCGAAAGCA